UACGUAGGCAGCGAGCGUUGUUCGGAGUUACUGGGCGUAAAGAGUGCGUAGGCGGUUUUCUAAGUUUGGUGUGAAAUCUCCCGGCUCAACUGGGAGGGUGCGCCGAAAACUGGGGGGCUAGAGUACUGGAUGGGAGAGUGGAAUUCCUGGUGUAGCGGUGAAAUGCGUAGAUAUCAGGAGGAACACCUGUGGUGUAGACGGCUCUCUGGACAGUAACUGACGCUGAGACACGAAAGCGUGGGUAGCAAACAGG
rnacentral:rRNA from 1 species